rnacentral:rRNA from 1 species
AUCUUCGGACCUCGCGCUAUUGGAGCGGCCGAUGUCGGAUUAGCUAGUAGGUGAGGUAAAGGCUCACCUAGGCGACGAUCCGUAGCUGGUCUGAGAGGAUGAUCAGCCACACUGGGACUGAGACACGGCCCAGACUCCUACGGGAGGCAGCAGUGGGGAAUUUUGGACAAUGGGCGCAAGCCUGAUCCAGCCAUGCCGCGUGAGUGAAGAAGGCCUUCGGGUUGUAAAGCUCUUUCAGGUGGAAAGAAAUAGCGCUGUUUAAUAGAUGGCGUUGAUGACGGUACCACCAGAAGAAGCACCGGCUAACUACGUG